rnacentral:misc_RNA from 1 species
GAUGAAGAACGUAGCGAAAUGCGAUACUUGGUGUGAAUUGCAGAAUCCCGUGAACCAUCGAGUCUUUGAACGCAAGUUGCGCCUCAAGCCAUUAGGUUGAGGGCACGUCUGCCUGGGCGUCACAUAUCGUUGCCUGAUGCCAGUUUCCUCGUGACGGGUGACUGUGCAGGGCGAAUGAUGGCUUCCCGUGAGCAUUGUUGCCUCAUGGUUGGUUGAAAAUUGAGUCCUUGGUAGGGAGCGCCGUGAUAGAUGGUGGUUGAGUGACGAACGAGACCCAAUCAUGUGAGACCCCUACCGAAUUUGGCCUUCAUGACCCACAUGCGUCUUUGGAACGCUCAUGACGAGACCUCAGGUCAGGCGGGGCUACCCGCUGAGUUUAAGCAUAUCAAUAAGCGGAGGA